rfam:Tetranychus urticae London genomic scaffold, scaffold_3
GUCGGCUACGGAGAUAUGGUUCCACUUGGUGUUUGGGGUAAAAUGGUUGGCUCACUGUGUGCCAUUGCUGGUGUACUUACUCUAGCCCUGCCUGUGCCUGUGAUAGUUUCCAAU